rnacentral:lncRNA from 1 species
CCCCAAUGCCGCGCCGGCUGAGCUACCAUCACCGCGCGAUGCAUUGUGGUACCUGCAGUCUGGUGCUGCUGCUCGGCCCCGCCGGAGGCGCCAUGUUCCUGCGGGAAUUAGCUGUGCUUGGGUGUUAAUAAAACAAAAAAGUGUAUUCUCUAAGGCUGACAGUGUUGUGCUCAAGCUACUCUGGGUUUGUUUUCUUUUCUUUUUUUUCUAAACCUGUGGUGAGAUCCUGGUUCAGAAGAGCAAGAAUCAGCUGAACCGCAAAACUCCAGCCCAUCAUUCCGUCAGUGUUGAUCCGCCUGCCCUCAGGCGUUGGUGUCCUGCCGUGUUUGUGAAAAGAGUCACGGAGUGCAUAUGAGUCAUCCUGUUAACAGCGUGAGUUUGCAGUGCAACCUACCGACUGACAGGUGGAAUGUGGAGUGCCGCUCUUUAAGAGAAAAUACAAGAAGCGACCCCAAGAAACCUUCCUAUCCCUGGAAGCAUCAGCGGGGUGCGCGGCAGGGAUCACGUUCAGGAAACGGAGCCUCCCUGCUGACAGACGCCUCGGCUGCAUUUGCCGAUGGAGCUGGGAGCCGUGCCCAGGGCAGGAGCGGAGAUCGCUCCCUCUCACCGGCCUGCAGGAGAAGCGCUACCCGCCCCCAUUCCCAUUCCCGUUCCCGUUCCCGUUCCCGUUCCCGUUCCCUGCAGGUGUCCGCCAGAGGGUGCCCGGCCCACGCCGUUCUCCAGCUCCUGAGCCGAAGGCCAUUUGGCAGCAAAGCAGCAGCAGCCUUUCCUUUAUUUCUUUUUAUUGCCCGUAGAUGUUUCCCAUGA